rnacentral:lncRNA from 1 species
AUGAAAUAUUUGAAUCUAUAUUCUCAUGCUAAAAAACUAAAACUUUAAAACCUAUGUGACUUUCUUAAAGAACAUACUAACCCCAAAACUUCACAAAUAUGUUCAACAAAUUUAGUGAAAAACACUUGCAUUUUUGUAAUUGUUUUGAACGUGGCUGAAAGCAAAGUCUUUAUGCUUGCUUCUAAACAUAAAUCAUUUUAAUCUAAUGAGACUUCAUAAAAAUAUGGUGAACAAAAAAUCACAGCGUUUAUAUACACAACGUGACUCCACCUGUAUAUACAAACAAUUUCAAGUGAAAAAUAAAUUGACCUCCAUCAUAUUUUUAUUACAAGGAUAGAGGAUCACAUGAAGCUCUGGCAUAAAACCUGAAUAAGUUGCAAUUGUGGGUGCUGCAGUCCAUGUUGUAGUGCUUGCAGUUGUAGCUAUUGCAGUAUUUGUGACUAAACACAAAACUCAAUUCAGAUAGAUUUAGAAGUGUAAUACGAUCAUGUCUUGAAGAUUAAUGAUACAUUCUUACGUAAAUAUAUAAACAACACCUAUUAAAAACAAACCCAUCUUCACACUUUUGCAUAGAGCUGAUGUCCCUAGAGAAAGUAGUCGUGAAAUAUGCUAUGGUUUAGUACCUGCUGUUGUUGAUGGUGUGGUUUGAAUGGUAAUUGCUGCUGUGGACAUUGAUUCUGCUUCAAUUGUUGAGGUGACUGUACAGAGAGCUUAUCAGGAGGCCCUGAAGAUUGCACAGAGAGCUUCUAAACCCUAAACCUGUAUGCUCCACUUCCAUCCUCAAGAAUUCCCAUCCAGCCAUGGUAACUGGAGCCUGGCGCACCGAGAGACCCCCACUAUCCCUAACCUUGGCCAACAAGAAUAUGUUCUGUAAACAUUGUUAUGAAAGUAAGAUUUGGUCACAACAAGAAGUGGUAACAAUCAUGGGCAUUCAUUCACUUUGAAUAGGACAAACCACAGGACAAUCGCAAUGGAAGCAGUUUAAAAAGAAGACUAGUGUACCCUCAAGCUGAGAUGAUGGACUUGAUAGUUUUUUGGAACAAGAAUACAGAUGACCAUGUAUGAAGCUACCUUCAUCAAAAUGUAGCUUAUAGCAACGAUAGGUAACAGAACUUCUUUUAACAAUAGUGAGAGCGUAGACAUCAGACAAAAAAAAUCAUGAUAUCGUUACGACAACACUGCCUCUUUUAUGAUUGUAUACGUGCGAGUUCUCUAAAUUUUGCAUUUACACUAUCAAUACUAAUCCUCAAUAACAGGCCCAUUACAGCUAUCAUUGCUUACGGAAGAAACCAUAUGGAGGGAGAAUUGUCCAUUCAGCAAAGAAUUGCAAAACGUAGUGACGGAGGUGCUCACGGAUACAGCACAGGAGACGGUAACUGCACAAAUGCUGACUUCGGCGUCCUGGACCAGAGUUGCUAAGGCUGAGAAGCUUUGGGCAUCAACAACAGAUGUGUGACCUAAUGGUACACUAACAACACCACUCUAAUUUGGAGAAUCAGCGACUUAAGAAGUGGAUGUGGAAAUGGCUGGUGAAGUAACCUCAAUAUAUUUCCCGUUGCUACGAGUCACACCACUCCAAGCAGUCAAAGAGACAUUUUGAGAUUCUGCCACAGCUGCAGGAACAGAUGCUGGAGCAGACAUCGGCAACCUGUUAUUCCUGAUUACAGCUGCUCAAGGAUGUAAAGAAAUGGGAAAUUGUUAAGUCCGAGACCGAUGCAGGUGAUAGCAUACUCUGCUCUAAGCUAAGGUCAAAUGUAUAUGUCUUUUAACAUGCUUUACAUAGAAGCAUUUUAUCAAAGUAAACCUACUCAUCUGUCUGUGUUUUCCAACUGUGACGGGUAGUUGCUUUUCUCUGAGUUUGCCUAGCAGUUGUGAGAACCGAACUUAAACAACAUGACUUCCAAUAUCAUUAUCAUUUCUAAAGUUCAACAACUUAUAGCAAAGCGCAUGCUACAGAGGCAUGCGAACAAUAUGCUCAGCUUGUGAGUUCACACAGUGUUAAAGACUUAGAGAAAGGAUAAUCAUCACAGCCAGAACGAAUCGACGAAGACAGAAUGAAAGUCAACCAAAGAAUACAUUAGCUCACUUUUAGAUUCAAAUAGUAUAUUGAUAGUAAAUAUAAUACAACAUCUCACCCUUCAUAGUUUACAUCUGGAAUUCCAUGAUUAUACUCACAUCAAUUGUUCUCAUACGAUUUGCUUUUUAGGUUUAGAAUAAAGUUUCACCUGGAAUUCCAUCUAGAAAAAUUAGUCCCCUAAACAAUGACAUCACGAGGAUUAUUAAGAGAAAAUUUACACCACAUAUCAGCAAGUUAUGAAGCUAGCAAUGGACUUCUGACCGUAUCGGUUAUUUUUUUCUUAAUUUUGAACAUACACCACAAGCAGGGGUCACUUGGUAAUGAGCAAACCUUGUGAUAGCUAGUGACCUUGCAGGCUUUCUCAUGCUUAGUUACUACAGCACACAGAGACCAAUUCAAGUCAGAGAAGAGCAUUGCCUAAAGCACCAGCACUUCAACUGCUACCUGCAUUUGCAGCACCCGGUAAACUGCAACGUGGUUAGAAAUCCCGUAAGUACCACAAUUAUACUAACAAACAUGCAGUACCCGCAAUGCAAGAAACUGGUAGGAGAUAACAACCUGCUACAUACUGCAAACACCCAAGCAAAGCUGUAAAGGGAUCAAGUUUCCUCAAAUGAAAAGGUUGUGGAAAAAGCCCCAGAGUAAUUCCAGACAGAACUUUAAAUUAAAAUUUUAACCUGAUAAGAAAAAAGCAAAUUCUUAUGCAUAAUUGAUCUAAACCAGAUUUUAAACUGCUGCCCCUUCCUCAACAUCCGUAAACCUGUGUUACUGGUGAAUGUACUUCGAGAAAGUUUUAGCUCAACAACUAAAUUGCUAGAAGAAAAGUGGAUAUGUAACCCACCAGACAUUCCUGGCGCAGAUCUAUAAGCAGGAUUAUAAACGAAGCAAGUCCCAGAUUGUCACUCAAUUUGCACAUUAAACGAAGCGUUGUUAGUUCUUGCAAACACACAACCCCACCCAUCCCAAAAAAUCUACCCAAAUGAAUUAAAGAAUGAAAAACUUAAGUAUAUACAGAUUCUAAAAGGACAGAAACGAGAUAAGUAUGUUGCUGGUCUCACACGAAGCCCUAAACUGGUGCAUAGGAUAAGAGGUAUGCUCCAAUUCCUGCAACAUUACCGGUAGCAAAGAAGAUGACAAACGACAUCGCGAUAGCCAAAAUUACAGAACUUGAAAAGUGCAUAUAGGUACUACAACCACGAUAAAUACACUCAUGCAAAUAUAUAGAUAUAGAUAUAUAUAUAUAUAUAUAAAGCAGGAGAUUUGUUGUCUGCUUCAUUUCCAAGGCUUCAAGAACAGACUGUAGCUAAGGAUACAGUCAGCAGACCCGACACUACGAUUCUUAAACUGUACCUUCAGCUCGCAAACUUGCCUUGAGUGUACUCUGGGGUACUUCGCACCAAGAAUCCACAAAAACUCUAACUGUCUCACACGUUCAAUCAUGGAUAACAUACAGCUCCUUAAUAAGCUCCAUGAAGUGAACCUCAACAAAAGAUAUAAGAAAAAGCAUCACCACAGCAAAGAUAAUUGAGAUCAACCUCUUCCUCGGCAGGAGAACAACCUCAACACGCUGCACACCAAAAACUCAUCCACUGCAUAACCGACUCAACACGAACAACGACUCCGCAAAGUGGGUCAAAGCGAAACUGUUCCAAAUGCCGGAACCCAGAACAGAUUGCUUCAUUACCCGAUAGAAGAAAAAAGAAA